rnacentral:rRNA from 1 species
AGUGAACGCUGGCGGGAGGCCUAACACACGCAAGUCGAACGGCAGCACAGUAAGAGCUUGCUCUUACGGGUGGCGAGUGGCAGACGGGUGAGGAAUACAUCGGAAUCUACUUUUUCGUGGGGGACAACGUAGGGAAACUUACGCUAAUACCGCAUACGACAUACGGGUGAAAGCAGGGGAUCUUCGGACCUUGCGCGAUUGAAUGAGCCGAUGUUGGAUUAGCUAGUUGGCGGGGUAAAGGCCCACCAAGGCGACGAUCCGUAGCUGGUCUGAGAGGAUGAUCAGCCACACUGGAACUGGGACACGGUCCAGACUCCUACGGGAGGCAGCAGUGGGGAAUAUUGGACAAUGGGCGCAAGCCUGAUCCAGCCAUACCGCGUGGGUGAAGAAGGCCUUCGGGUUGUAAAGCCCUUUUGUUGGGAAAGAAAAGCAGCAGGUUAAUACCCCGCUGUUCUGACGGUACCCAAAGAAUAAGCACCGGCUAACUUCGUG